ensembl:lncRNA
CUCUCUGUCGGGCCCGGCCGCCGCUCUGCGCUACGCUCAUGGGGUGGCGAGCGCUGAUGCGCCGUGGCAUCGUCGCAGCGGGGCUUCGUAUCGUUCCCGAACAUGUCGACAUCUGCUCUGUGUAUGACAGCCAGUUGAUCAUUUCAAUACGGCGUUUUGGACCCAUGGCUCGUUGUGUGUGGACAGAGGGUUAGCAGGGGGGGAGGGCGACGGGUGCAGGUCACAGGGUAGACUGAGGGGUGAUGGGAGGAUGUAGAUGUUGGGUCUCCACAGGCCCCCUGCAGUGGGGAUGAAACUCUUUUCAGAACGAGGCCAGAUUAGUGUCUCAACACCCCCCCACAUGCACACGCGCGCACACACACAGGUCACCCUCCUCCCUCCACAUUGUGGUGAUCAUCACUUUCCAACAGAACGUCUAGAUUAAAUCCUCCCCAGCUUUGUUUUAUUGGAGCACAGUCAGGACAAAGACCUCAGGCUUGCUGAUUCUCGGCCUGGAAAACCUUUUACAUGUUAUAUGUUUUGCAUCGACAGCUUCUGGUAAUCUCCUCUGAUAGAUGAUCAGACAUAAUAUUUCCAAUUAAUCCCAAAUCCACACACACACAAUGAUAAUGAAUACAUCUGGGGUUAUUUUUUAAUUAAAAAAGACAAACAUGGGACCAACUGAGGGGGAUUUCCCAAACAAAGGCCAUGUGUAAGGAUUGGGGCUCUUGGCGCUAGAUUCCUGUACAAGUUUUCAAAUUGGUCAGGAUUUUAUGACGGAUUAUUCCAUGCUGGUGAUGUAAAAAACAGUCUGUCUGCCGUAUAUCUCUGUGGAUCCCUGUUUUAGGAACUUUUAGCCCUGCGUGUUUCUUCCCUUCCCCCACUAUGGUCCCAUACAGCUGCACCUGCUGUGCCCGUAAAUUCAAAUAAUCCCACAAAAUGAUUUAGUGUGUUAUCCACCCAAUCACAAACGAGGAGGAGAAGUGGAGUUGGGUACGUCAGACAAGCAGAUGUUCCUUCCACAUCUGAAACAAAAAGUCAAUGGUGAUUCAUUUGUCAUGUACCUUAUGUACUUCAGUAACGGUUUCCUCAAUAGUUGCGUUGCUUUGACCCAACAGAGUUUUCAUGAUCUUUUCCCAAACUUACUUCCUCAACCUAAAAAAAGUAGUUUUGUCCCUAAUGUUUUCCCCUAAUUAAGGUAGUUUAUUUUGCAAAGGAAAACACACACACACAAAAAAUAGGAGUAUGAUUAUUUCUUGAGGGAGACGUUGAGCUUUUCAAAUGCCAUAUAGUCCAAAUAUAUUUAAAAAGUUCGCUUUUUUUACUGCAGUAACAACACCAUUGCAAUGCAAUCCUGACUGAUCACUUGCACUACAGGUAAGAGGAGAAAUAUUUGUGUGGAUUUUGAGCUCUGUCAUCACUGCUGCCUUAGUCACUGCUAGCGCCACCAUCUGGGCUCCUCCAUGUUUGCUUUGCUCAGGUAGAGAUGACUGCUACUGGCUUACUUGUAUUAUUAUUAUUUACGUAUAUGGAUUAUGAUGUGACCCUCAAAAACCCCAAUGUCAGCCACACAUAUUACUCACCGUGUGUCGACCCUGCAGGGCCGAUAUCGCAUCGUGAGUUGAAGAAUUGUAAUCGCUCUGAAGCUUUACUACAACUUCAAUAACAAGGAAGCGCAGACAGGAUGAAAAACUCCACGUUGUGUCACACGACCUAAAUCGGAGCAGCACUUACGCAACAGAACUCAAUCGUCCCCCUGAGUGUGUCUGUGUAUAUAGUAUCUAUAAAUAAUAACUACCUAUCUACAGACAGACCUAUAGACGUUUGAAGCUGCGACACUGUGUGUGUGUGUGUGUGUGUGUGUGAGGGCAAUGUGACGCCAGUAGAGGGUGUAUGAGACUGUCUCCCUCCCCACGUUGAUUCUAUGCCCUGCUAUUACAUAAUGACUCCGUCUGUGCAAGCUUGCGUGUAUCUUUGUGUGCGUGUACAUAUAUUUAUAUAUAUAUAUAUAUACAUGUGUACUUGUGCUCUGCGCAUGCUCUUUCCUUUGUCCUGAGGGCACUGUCGACAAGCAUCAGCAUUAGAGAUGUGUCUCUCGCUCCACUGACCAUGAGCUCACACACACACACACACACGCACACACACACCUUCAGGCAUGACAAUUGCUUCAUUAAACUUCCAGCACAGCGGUGGGAUAGAAAGGUAGACUGACAAAAUGUAAUGAAAAGCAUCCGAGCUUAAAACAACGAUCACAAACCUGUAAAAAGAAGGGGAGAGCUGAGUGAUAAUGAAUACUUUAUAGGCCAGUUGUGUGUCUACUCCAUGAACAUUUUUAGUUCUGAUCACUUAAGGACACAACCUGAAUGUGGCUGAGGGUCUGUAACCACAACGACACUUCUGGCAUAUUGUCUCCUGUUCCAAUGUCUCUACUCUCAGGAUGACUUACUGAUUUGUUGUAAAACCUGCAAGAACGACCAUUGGAGACAUCUAAAUGUACGAGCCAUAUUCCAGAGUUCACUCACAUCUCAUGGCCUUUGUCAGCAGAAGGAUAAGCGCUCAGUUGUCAUACGGCCUCGUAUAAUACAAUUGACAGUGGAACCAUAUCCAUGAAAACUAAGCAGACUCCAUGCCGUGAUGACACCCUCGAUGGAGAUGGACCGUGCCAUGAGAUAUGACUAAAAGCCCAAAGACAGAUCUACUAAGGGGACAUUUUUUCAUUGAACCUGUAAGCUCCAUUUUAAGAGGUCAGCUGUAUCAUAAACUGAUACUUUAGCGCAAAGGGCAACGUUCGCAAUAUCGGUGUUUCCGUAUGUUGAAACAUUGACAAUAAAAUGUACUUAGUGGUUAUUUACUUCGUGCUUCAUGUGUUCUAGGUAUCUGACAUCCCGCUUCUAAGCCUUUAUUUUGAAGUCCGCUCGCUGGAUUUCCGGUACCGCCGCGGCCUGAAUGCCGGCGCGUGACGCUUCUCGUCGCGGGCCUGUUUGCGUUGUAGUCGCGCUGAGAAGAGGACCAGUUAGUCCACCGACGGGACUCCGUCCACGAUGCUGCGAGCCGAGUAGUUCUCCACCGGCCCCUCUUUGUUCGGCUCCCGCACGUUACCCGACGCUGGAACCCGAUGAAUGGAGUUACUUUUUGCCUUGUUGGAAUCCCGCCUCCCGCAGAAACUGAAGUAAGUCCGAAGCUGUACGCGUUGUCUCGCGGUAUUGUGUGUUUUUAUUCUGCUCCUGUCCGGUGUUUCACUUUGAAACUUUCAUUGGUUUCCCCCGGUGGUCAACGAGCACAUCUUAACGCGUGUUCACUUUAUUGUUACCUGUAAUAACGGGGUCGUGUCAGAGGAUGUAACGUCUGUCACGGCUCUGCCGUUGGCCCAGCGGUCACAGAGCGCGUGUCAGGUGGGGGAACUUCGGUCUCCUCCCGGGACACGCCCCGCGGGCGCCCCGCGGGGCACCGCGGGGAGGUUCUCCCGCACUUCUCCGUGGGUUAUUACGCAACUUGUCAGAUCCAACACAAAACGCGCCAGCUGUUCAACCACCUAACGUGAAGCGACGAAUGCGUGAUGAAUUGACGGUGCUACGUUCAAUGACACACCUUCCUCUCCACCCUCUCCACCACCACCAGCGGAUCACA